rnacentral:misc_RNA from 1 species
GUAUUAAAUGCGCGAUUAAGCACAAGUACAUUCCAUUACAUUCAGAGUGUGUGUAAAUACCUCAGUGUUCAAGUCGCCCACAGACGACCGACUGCACAAGAGUGCGAACCCCAAAGUCUAAAGUGCACAGGUGUGUGGAUUUGCAACCGCCGUGCACAUGUGUUUCCACCAGCACAGACGGCCGACUUGUAAUUCAUUAAUGAUCCUUCCGCAGGUUCACCUACGGAAA